GACGAACGCUGGCGGCGUGCUUAACACAUGCAAGUCGAACGGAAAGGCCCUGCUUUUGUGGGGUGCUCGAGUGGCGAACGGGUGAGUAACACGUGAGUAACCUGCCCUUGACUUUGGGAUAACUUCAGGAAACUGGGGCUAAUACCGGAUAGGAGCUCCUGCUGCAUGGUGGGGGUUGGAAAGUUUCGGCGGUUGGGGAUGGACUCGCGGCUUAUCAGCUUGUUGGUGGGGUAGUGGCUUACCAAGGCUUUGACGGGUAGCCGGCCUGAGAGGGUGACCGGCCACAUUGGGACUGAGAUAGGGACCAGACUCCUACGGGAGGCAGCAGGGGGGAAUAUUGCACAAUGGGCGGAAGCCUGAUGCAGAAACGCCGCGUGCGGGAUGACGGCCUUCGGGUUGUAAACCGCUUUCGCCUGUGACGAAGCGUGAGUGACGGUAAUGGGUAAAGAAGCACCGGCUAACUACGUG
rnacentral:rRNA from 1 species